GAUUACAAAGCAAAAUGAUUCAUUCACAAUUUAAACUUGUGCCUGGAGGUUCAUUAGAAUUAUUAAGAAGAUGUUCAGCGGUCACGUGUGAAGGACAUUGUGUGUGUGCUGCUCAAGGACAACGAUGUUCUAAACGAUCAUGCAAUGAUGUGACUAAAGCAAAUCAUAAGAACUUGUUAGGCAUAUAUGAUAUAACAAAUAUUCAGGAAUCGUCUCCCUUUAGUGAUGUGAAGUAUACGCCAUCAAAUGUCGCUCUGGCUGCCAAAUGGCUUGAGUACAAGGUCAGGGAUUGAGGCCCUUAUGGUAUGAAAGGACAGCGGGAUAUUCAAACAAAGAUGAACCUGAAGGCAUCUUUGAUAAUUUAAACGAUGAUGUCUGGCAUCAUGCGGGACAAAUAAACCAAGCAAUAUUGAACAUUAAACGAGGUGAACUGUUAAAAGAAUCACCAGUAUCGUAUUAAAUUUGUGUACGAGUAUGGUAUAAUGACGAUACAUUUGCUGAUUUUAAGACUGAUGGAAUAUUAGCUAUGUCAACUCCUCUGUCAAGACGAAAAAUAAAAGGAUCGGCGAUUGUAGAGCAGAUACCUGGUAACUGGAAGAAGGAUAUAGAUUAUAUCAAACCUGGAGCUCCUUUUACAAUCAGAUGGACACACGUGUUUAAGGAUGAUGGCAAAAUUAUUGGCAAGUUUAAAGUGUAUCUUAGUACAUAUCCUGGAGGCCAUGAUAUACAUGAAGUGGAAUUGGAUCUACCCGGAACAAUUACGUCUCAUAACAUCAUCCGAGUACCAUUAUCUCCAGGGAAAGUAUUUUACAGUAAUGUAGUUGGAUACAGCUAAUCUGGUAUCCAUGCUACUCAAUCAUCAGACGGCAUCAUGAUCGACUCUCUGCCACCAGUUACUGGUUCUAUUUAUGAUGGAAUAGGUGUACACGACAUUGAUUACCAGAACAACUCGGAAAUUACCGGGGCUUCGUGGAAUGGAUUUUCUGACCGAGAUUCUGGAAUAGCACAUUACAUGUGGUGUGUUCAAACCAAAUCGAAAACUUCCGCAUGUGAUGUCAGAGACUGGGAAAAUGUUGGAAUUCAUCAUUCUGUGUCCAGGAUCAUCAACAGUUCACACAUUGAUACAGGAGCAGAAAUCGAGAGUCUUGUUUAUGCAAUGGAUGUUAUAGGACACAAAUCUCUCACUGUCAAAUCAAAUGGAAUCAUGAUUGACUCUACACAUCUAGAACCUACUUUAAUGGAACAUUUAGAUCACAAUGAAGCCUUAAAUCCUUCAUUUGAGGAUACAGACGGUGUACCGAUUGACUGGGAUAAUAUAACCAAUAUAAAUUUAUGCAAUACUAUUGUACGUGCCUCUCAAUGGAAUAGUUC